AUUGAACGCUGGCGGCAGGCUUAACACAUGCAAGUCGAGCGAGCGGCGGACGGGUGAGUAAUGUCUGGGAAACUGCCUGAUGGAGGGGGAUAACUACUGGAAACGGUAGCUAAUACCGCAUACCAUCGGAUGUGCCCAGGUGGGAUUAGCUAGUAGGUGGGGUAAAGGCUCACCUAGGCGACGAUCCCUAGCUGGUCUGCGAGGAUGACCGGCCACACUGGAACUGAGACACGGCCCAGACUCCUACGGGAGGCAGCAGUGGGGAAUAUUGGACAAUGGGCGCAAGCCUGAUGCAGCAACGCCGCGUGUAUGAAGAAGGUCUUCGGGUUGUAAAGCACUUUUAGCGGGGAGGCGUUACCCGCAGAGGAAGCACCGGCUAACUCCGUGCCAGCAGCCGCGGUAAUAC
rnacentral:rRNA from 1 species